rnacentral:lncRNA from 1 species
GGCUAAUAAUUCUUUUUGUAAGAGAUCAUUAAGCUUCCCUCCUUCUCUUGAACUUCUGUAAUCCAGAGUGUUUCAAGAAUGUUUCGGGUAACACGGGUCCCAGGUUUUUAUCAGUCCUGCCACCUACUAUUUGAAGAUUAAAGAAGAUAGACUACCUUAUAAAUACAAAAACAUGUAUUUUAAAUAAAACACAGUUGUUUUCCACACAGAGGCUUUUAAUGGUCACAUAUUAUUACUUUCUCUUAUUAUGGACUACAUUACGAAGUAUUUUUGAUUCUGUGCAUCUACAAAGAAAAGGUUAUGUUAAAUAUCGCCAAGUGUAAGUGCUAUGAACAAAGCAGCUAAUUUUACCUUUGCAGAUGUAAGAAAAGAAAAAAAGUUCAUUUUUUAAAUCUGUCAACAGCUAUUAUGAGGUUUCUGAAAUCAGUAACAUUGAACAUAAAGAGACAUGGACAGUCAUUCACUGUAAAGAGUGAGAAGUAACACCUCACAUUUGUAAGAAAAUUGUCUUUACUAUUUUUAAACCUUUCGUUUUCAGGCUCACAACUGUUUCAGGGAUCUACCUGCUGUGCUUGUUUAUAGUGAUUACACAGAAAAAGCAAAACAACUGUUUUAUGUUGAGCCUUUUCUGUUUUGUCUAAGCAGGGCAAUUGCAGCUGAUUAAAUUGUGCAAAGGAC